AUAAUGCCUCUAACUCUUCGUCCUGAGUAGUAACGUCUAUGCCCAAACUCAAAGAAUUUGGCGGCACUUUGCCCUAUUAGAGGAGCCUGCCGCGUAAUCGACGACCCACGAGCUUCCCUACCCCGUCUCAAAGUUUGUAUACCGCCGUCGAGGGCGUGUUAAAAAACACGCUUAAACCGAUGUUAAUAUUAAUCUCAGGUCAAGGUGCAGCCCAUGGCAGGGCGCGGGUGGGCUACAUUAAGGUUAUUUACACGGAUUAUUUGAUUAAAUUUAAUAUAAAGGUGGAUUUAUAAGUAAGUUUGGGGGUUGCCAAACUGGCAAGGUUCU
rnacentral:rRNA from 1 species